rfam:Schistosoma margrebowiei strain Zambia genome assembly, scaffold: SMRZ_contig0000057
GCACUGCUGAGGAGUCCCAAAAUAGGACGGAACGACCGUCUAGUGC